GUGCAGUCGAGCGGACUAUUCUAUUGCUGCUUGCACCUAUCUUAUUUAGCGGCGGACGCCGGAGUUACACGUGCGUCACCUACCUUAUAGAUUGAUAUAACUCCGGCAAACCGGUCCUAAUACCGAAUAAUACUUUUAAACACAUGUUUGAAAGUUGAAAGACGGUUUCGGCGGUCACUAUUUUAUUGGGCCCGCGCCCCAUAAAAUUUUUGGUGAGGUAGCGUGUAACAAAGGCACCGAUGCCUAUCCGCCCGGACCAGAUCAAAAAAAAAAAAGGGACGGGGCCGCGGCCCAUUCUGGUGGGGGGGGGGGGGGUAGGGCAUUCUUCCCCAAGGACGAAAGUGGGGGGCCCCCCCCCCGGGGGAAAAGAAAAAGGUUUUCGAUAAAAAAAAUUCGUGGGGAAAGAAAAAAAAAAAGAAAAAAAGGACCGGGCCCUACCUUGAGGGUUUCUUUGAAAAAAAGCCUGUUUUAUUUUCUCGCCGCCGGGGGAGG
rnacentral:rRNA from 1 species